GCCAGCGUGGGGUCGUGGUUUGACCACUGGACUAUGACUCUAGAGACCAGGGUUCGAAUCCCAGCUCAGCCA